GCCUGGGUGGCUCAGUUGGUUGAGUGUCCGACUUCGGCUCAGGUCAUGAUCUCAUGGUUCAUGGGUUUGAGCCCCAUGUCGGGCU
rnacentral:tRNA from 1 species